GCAGACACAUUCCAGCCAAUCAGCAGCAGACCCUCCCUCCCAGACUCUCCCACCUCCUGGACAGCAUCCAUUUUGAAGCUGCAUUCUUAGUGAGCUGUCCAGGAGGUGGGAGGGUCUGGGAGGGAGGGUCUGCUGCUGAUUGGCUGGAAUUUGUCUG